GCCGGGCCUCGGGCUUGAGACUUCCUCCCUCCCUGCCAGUGCUGGGCCUGGAGCCAGCCCGAGCUGUUUGAGCUGAACUAACUGGCAGAGCAGAGCCGUCCUCCCCAGCACCCCCGUUCCCAAGGCAGGAGAACUGCCCUCUGCGAGUUCAGGUGGCAUCUGGCAGCACGAGCUGCCUGAGAGGACAGACAAGGGAGCUCUCUGCAUCGCUGCGGAAGAGCAGCCGGAAGAUGCUGACAGUUCAACGAUUACAUUCGGGAUCUACAGCUGCCUCGGGGCAUCCUGGUGAUCACUUAAUGGACGAGGCUUCCCUUCAGAGCUUAAAUCAGCUUUCAAAUAUGUAAAAGGACAAGUUUGCCAGCACGGGCUGUAGACUCAUGUCUGUACUCUGAGGAAAAGGAGGAGAAUGUGGAAGGUGACUGCAAGGCAAGGUCAGGCAAGGGGAAAAGAACGUUCCCUCCACCUCUGUGAGGGUCAUAGCACGACUCUGGCACAGUAAA